GAUAAUUUGACACAACGGUUACUAGAGAUGAAGACAGCCAGAAAGCAGUUCCCAAAUACAUCAAAUGUUAAAUGAGUCACAUAAUCGCUUCCCUGUCCAAAUUCGGAAGGAAGAACAACACUAAGAUCUAGAAAUUAGAUACAUGAGCUUUCAAGCUUCUCUAGAUGGUGAGAUAUCUUUGGGGUUGGCUUGGAAGUUUUUUUGUCAUUAUCUCCCUUGUAGUAGAUUUCUAGAUCAGUUGAAUUUCUCCUUCUGGAAGCAAUGCCCCAACCCAUGAAAUCCGAGAGUGUCGGUGCGUCUGCAGCACUCUUCGCCAUUGCGUCUUCAUCAGAGGAGAUAGAGGACCCCUCAGAUCUUUCCGGUGAUGAUAUUUGAGAAAGGCUAUCAGCAUGAAGGACAUCCUCGAUUCUCGACAUGACAUUGAACGCCAAGCUCUCUAGAAUCCUUGAAUAGCUCUCCAGGAUAGCGUGACCUACAUCCUGUGAAAUUGAAUUCCAAAUAUAUCAAGUGCAGAUUGUGGAAGUCCCGGGAAACGCUGCUUUAACAUGAUUAAUAUAGUCUCGGCCCUCUCUUCGAAGAGUUCCCUCUUUUCCAAGCUGACACCUGAACCCCAAGA